GACGAACGCUGGCGGCGUGCCUAAUACAUGCAAGUAGAACGCUGAAGGAGGAGCUUGCUUCUCCAGAUGAGUUGCGAACGGGUGAGUAACGCGUAGGUAACCUGCCUGGUAGCGGGGGAUAACUAUUGGAAACGAUAGCUAAUACCGCAUAACAGUAGAUAUUGCAUGAUAUCUGCUUGAAAGGUGCAAUUGCAUCACUACCAGAUGGACCUGCGUUGUAUUAGCUAGUUGGUGGGGUAACGGCUCACCAAGGCGACGAUACAUAGCCGACCUGAGAGGGGUGAUCGGCCACACUGGGACUGAGACACGGCCCAGACUCCUACGGGAGGCAGCAGUAGGGAAUCUUCGGCAAUGGACGGAAGUCUGACCGAGCAACGCCGCGUGAGUGAAGAAGGUUUUCGGAUCGUAAAGCUCUGUUGUAAGAGAAGAACGAGUGUGAGAGUGGAAAGUUCACACUGUGACGGUAUCUUACCAGAAAGGGACGGCUAACUACGUGCCAGCAGCCGCGGUAAUACGUAGGUCCCGAGCGUUGUCCGGAUUUAUUGGGCGUAAAGCGAGCGCAGGCGGUUAGAUAAGUCUGAAGUUAAAGGCUGUGGCUUAACCAUAGUACGCUUUGGAAACUGUUUAACUUGAGUGCAAGAGGGGAGAGUGGAAUUCCAUGUGUAGCGGUGAAAUGCGUAGAUAUAUGGAGGAACACCGGUGGCGAAAGCGGCUCUCUGGCUUUGUAACUGACGCUGAGGCUCGAAAGCGUGGGGGAGCAAACACG
rnacentral:rRNA from 1 species